ACAAAAUGCGAGCAGGAAGCGGAGGUAAUACGAAGGGGGCAGAGGUGAUUCGGAUUUACGGGUCGUAAAGCGGACGGAGGGGGUAUGUGAAGUGAGGGGUGAAAUCCCAGGGCUGAACCUGGGAACUGCCUUUGAAACUGGCAGUCUAGAGUCUGGAAGAGGGGAGUAGAACUCCAAGUGUAGCGGUGGAAUUCGUAGAGAUCAGGAGGAAUACCGGUGGCGAAGGCGGCCCACUGGACGAGGACUGACGCUGAGGUACGAAAGCGUGGGGAGCAAACAGGAUUAGAUACCCCGGUAGUC
rnacentral:rRNA from 1 species